UACGUAGGGUGCGAGCGUUAAUCGGAAUUACUGGGCGUAAAGCGUGCGCAGGCGGUUUUGUAAGCCAGAUGUGAAAUCCCCGGGCUUAACCUGGGAACUGCAUUUAGGACUGCAAGGCUUGAGUACGGCAGAGGGGGGUAGAAUUCCUGGUGUAGCAGUGAAAUGCGUAGAUAUCGGGAGGAAUACCGAUGGCGAAGGCAGGUCUCUGGGCUGACACUGACGCUCAUGCACGAAAGCGUGGGGAGCAAACAGG
rnacentral:rRNA from 1 species